UUUUUUUAGAGAGAAAGAAUGAUAAUUAUAUAUUUAGUUCAUUUUUUAAAAAAUAAAUUUUCUAAAAAUAUAAAGCAACUAAGCUUUGAAUUAAUUUGUAUCACUUUGCAUAAGGGAUGAUAGUUUUUUUUUUCUUUUUGAGAGAUAAGUAGCACGCUACCCGCUUCGUUUAUUUCAUUUAGAAAUAACUCAGCUGAAAAUGUGAAUCAACUAGGAUUCGAACUUGGGUCUCGGAUACCAACCACCCUUU
rnacentral:lncRNA from 1 species